UACGGAAGGCAGCAGUGGGGAAUAUUGCACAAUGGGCGAAAGCCUGAUGCAGCUAUGCCGCGUGUAUGAAGAAGGCCUUAGGGUUGUAAAGUACUUUCAUCGGGGAGGAAAAAACAAAACUAAUAAUUUUAUUUCUUGACGUUACCCGAAAAAGAAGCACCGGCUAACUCCGUGCCAGCAGCCGCGGUAAUACGGAGGGUGCUAGCGUUAAUCAGAAUUACUGAGCGUAAAGAGCACGUAGGUGGUUUUUUUAAGUCAGAUGUGAAAUCCCUGGGCUUAACCUAGGAACUGCAUUUUGAAACUGAAAUACUAGAGUAUCGUAGAGGGAGGUAGAAUUCUAGGUGUAGCGGUGAAAUGCGUAGAUAUCUGGAGGAAUACCUGUGGCGAAAGCGGGCCUCCUAAACGAAUACUGACACUGAGGUGCGAAAGCGUGGGGAGCAAACAGGGAUUAGAUACC
rnacentral:rRNA from 1 species